GACGAAGGAUGCAAGCGUUAUCCGGAUUCAUUGGGUUUAAAGGGAGCGUAGGUGGCCUUAUAAGUCAGCGGUGAAAUCUCUGGGCUUAACCCAGAAAUUGCCAUUGAUACUGUAGGGCUUGAGUACAGUUGCUGUGGGCGGAAUAUGACAUGUAGUGGUGAAAUACAUAGAGAUGUCAUAGAACACCGAUUGCGAAGGCAGCUCACAAAACUGUAACUGACACUGAGGCUCGAAAGUGCGGGGAGCAAACAGG
rnacentral:rRNA from 1 species